rnacentral:rRNA from 1 species
UGGGGAAUAUUGCACAAUGGGCGCAAGCCUGAUGCAGCCAUGCCGCGUGUAUGAAGAAGGCCUUCGGGUUGUAAAGUACUUUCAGCGAGGAGGAAGGCGUUGUGGUUAAUAACCGCAACGAUUGACGUUACUCGCAGAAGAAGCACCGGCUAACUCCGUGCCAGCAGCCGCGGUAAUACGGAGGGUGCAAGCGUUAAUCGGAAUUACUGGGCGUAAAGCGCACGCAGGCGGUCUGUCGAGUCGGAUGUGAAAUCCCCGGGCUCAACCUGGGAACUGCAUCCGAAACUGGCAGGCUAGAGUCUUGUAGAGGGGGGUAGAAUUCCAGGUGUAGCGGUGAAAUGCGUAGAGAUCUGGAGGAAUACCGGUGGCGAAGGCGGCCCCCUGGACAAAGACUGACGCUCAGGUGCGAAAGCGUGGGGAGCAAACA